GUCUCUUUAGAGACAUUCGAUAAAAUUAGAACGAUACAGAUAAGAUUAGCAUGACCCUUGCGCAACGAUGACAUGCACAAAUGUGCGGCCGCACAAUUACCC